GAUGAACGCUGGCGGCGUGCCUAAUACAUGCAAGUCGAGCGAACAGACGAGGAGCUUGCUCCUCUGACGUUAGCGGCGGACGGGUGAGUAACACGUGGAUAACCUACCUAUAAGACUGGGAUAACUUCGGGAAACCGGAGCUAAUACCGGAUAAUAUAUUGAACCGCAUGGUUCAAUAGUGAAAGACGGUUUUGCUUUCACUUAUAGAUGGAUCCGCGCCGCAUUAGUUAGUUGGUAAGGUAACGGCUUACCAAGGCAACGAUGCGUAGCCGACCUGAGAGGGUGAUCGGCCACACUGGAACUGAGACACGGUCCAGACUCCUACGGGAGGCAGCAGUAGGGAAUCUUCCGCAAUGGGGGAAAGCGUGACGGAGCAACGCCGCGUGAGUGAUGAAGGUCUUCGGAUCGUAAAACUCUGUUAUUAGGGAAGAACAAAUGUGUAAGUAACUAUGCACGUCUUGACGGUACCUAAUCAGAAAGCCACGGCUAACUACGUG
rnacentral:rRNA from 1 species